UUCGUUUUGAGAUUAGGUACCUGUAGUGACUGCUACAAUUCCUGUUGACCGUAGCUGCCAAUACAAUGAAGGGUCGUUCCCUUCUUUCAGAGGUUUAUCAGAUUCUGUUACAGUGAUGAAUGGUAUUAAUGCUCCCAAAGUAGUUGAAUGCUUUGGCUCUGAUGGUCGAAAAUAUAAGCAACUUGCAAAAUCUGGCAAUGAUGACCUCAGACAAGAUGCUGUUAUGGAACAAUUUUUUGGGCUCGUCAAUACCUUUCUACAUAAUAAUCGGGACACAUGGAAGAGAAGAUUAGCUGUACGCACAUACAAGG